GGAUUAGAUACCCUGGUAGUCCAUGCCGUAAACGUUGGGAACUAGAUGUGGGGACCAUUCCACGGUCUCCGUGUCGUAGCUAACGCAUUAAGUUCCCCGCCUGGGGAGUACGGCCGCAAGGCUAAAACUCAAAGGAAUUGACGGGGGCCCGCACAAGCGGCGGAGCAUGCGGAUUAAUUCGAUGCAACGCGAAGAACCUUACCAAGGCUUGACAUAUAGGAGAACGCACUGGAGACAGUGAACUCUUUGGACACUCCUAUACAGGUGGUGCAUGGUUGUCGUCAGCUCGUGCCG
rnacentral:rRNA from 1 species